CUGGGGCCAGGCUGCAGGCAGGGAAGAAGCACAAACAGAGAGGCAGUCAGAGAAAUGGUUACAGAAGACAUACAGAGGAGAUUUCUUCUGCACAAAUUUCAUCUUGAAGAUAAUUAUAGCAGCCCCCAAUUCUAUAGGACAGAGAUUCCAUUUCCAGAUAGUAGCUUCUACGUGUGUCACAGAUAAAGCAGAUAAUGGAUGCUGCAAGAAUGGCUCUGACGGUAGUCUACGCUUGCCUGCCUUCGGUCUGGUGUUUCCUCGCUCCCCCCAUCUGCAGGAGAACCAAAACAGCACAAGUAUAUCAGCACAGCUGAGAGAUCAGGCAGAUGCAACUCUUCUUCCAGUACCAUCACUGUCUCUUAUGGUACAGCAGGCAAGCUGAGUUACUCUUGGCUGCAAGAGAGAGAAGCAGCCCAAAAACAAAGCUUUUGUUGUUCUUUGUAGUCACUCAACUGAAUGCAUACAGUUCUUGGAAAUGUGCAGGCCAAAAAAGGGAAUCUGCUUGAAAUUUCUCUUGAUGCUACCAGAAACAUCUGCACACACGCACAAUACCACAUCAUUGUUGAGGGUGGUUGUUGAUUUUUUUGCAAAGCAGAUUAAAUUGAAUGUCCCAAAC